CCGCCACCCACCACCAGUCCCCUUCUAAAUAAGGAAGGCCCUGUGAGUCGGUGAGUCAUUUGGGGCUGGUCAUCGGGCACUAGGAAGAUGGCCAGAGCCUCGUCUCGGGGGCCGAGCCCAGCCACAGCAGCAGCAGCAGUAGUCGCAGAUUCAGCUCCCUAGAGAGGAAGAGUUUGAGACUGUGGAGGUUAAUUAAAGAUCUAGAGGAAGCAGUGCAUCGGGAAGAUGGGCUGGCUCUCCUGAGUCCGGAGGACUGCAGAGAGUGCAGCAUGAAGGCUACAUGGCAAGAUGGUGAGAGCCAAGACUAUUCGGGAACUUGAAACCACUUCUCCACACAGCCCAGGUAGGCCUGACCCACCUCAGCAGCUCCAGCUGCCUUAGGAGACUGAGUUUCUCCUUCUGCAUGUUCCUGGAGACAGCAACCACAUCUCUGUAGGUAGAAGGUGGUUGGUGAUCCAGAUGCAAGGUGGGGGAAGGGACCCUCCACCCCGUCCACAGGCGCCUCACCACACCUUUGGGUUUGCUCCUGACGACCUUGUGCUUCGCCCUCCAGUCGGCUGAGCUGCUCUUGCGCCUGGUCCAGCUGUGCUCUUAUCACCUCAUAGGCCCUACGCAGCUGGGUGUGCUGGGCCUGCGCCUCUAGCUGUUCUGCAGUCCGGGCCUGCAGCUGCUGUUCCAGCUGGGGAAUGUUGGGAUGCUGGCAGGCGAACCACGCUCCCCGCUCACCCCCCAGUGCCAAGGUAACUUCUCACUCCUGCAGCUCGAGGACUCCGAGGCACAGGAAACCAACCCUCAAAGAAAUGAGUCUGCGAGGAUGCGGGCGUAAAGUAACUAAGGUUUACCUCCCGCUGCCGCAGGCCUGCACGCUCCAGCUCCUGCUCGCGGGUCUGCAGCUCCAGCUCCAGGUGGCCCCUCUGUUCCUCCCGGGGCAGUAGUUUCUGGGAUGUACAGCCGCACUAGCUCCUGGCUCAGAGGAGGCAGGCGGAGAGGCAAGGGUGGGGAGCAAAGGGGUGGAGAGCGCGGGAGGGGACACUUGCGGAGGCAGAGCAGAGUUCCCUGGACUUGGGGCAGCUUGGACUCCCGGAGGUGAGUCCUCUGGGGCGGGACCAGUUCGGGGAAGGCGGAGCCAGAGAAGCCAGAGAGGCUGGGCGUGGCAUACGCGGGCCCACCUGGCUCUGGCAGCGGUGUCGCUGCUCCCCCAGCUGCUGCUCCAGCUCUUCGUAGAGUCCGCGCACUUCCCUCUCGUGCUCACUCUCUCGCCUUCGAGGAACCGGGAUAUCACAGGCAUGAGCAUUUGCCAGUUUCCUCUCUGUCCCCUCGUGAGACCCCACACCUCGCCAAGCCGGUCCUCACCGCCGCAGUGCCUGCUCCAAACCGUCGCGUUCCCGGGCCGCCGCCUCCAGGCAGGCCGAUGCGCGCAUCAAAACUUCCUCCAGAGCGCCCAGCAGCUCGGGUCGCUCGCGCUGCAGCCGGACCCAGAGUGUCCUAACAGCCCAUUGCCUAGAGGGUGUGAAUAGAGAUGAGCUGGCAGAUGCUGGAGGUGUGUGCCCUUUUCGGAAGGUGAACCCGCUAGAGAAUCCCGCGGCCCAGAACUGGCAGCACAUCGGCCGCGUACUCUUUGGAGUGUGCUCUCAUGCCUGCUUAGCCUUGCACGAGUGACUAGGUGUCUGGUGGCACCCCGCCCCCACAGAGCUAUGGCCUCCUGAAAUGCAAAUCCUGAGGAAAAUCACGCCAGGGCACUCUCCCAGACAACCACAACUGACAAAGGAUGGACUGGCCCCGCCUUGGGAUUCUGUGGCAACAGCCAGGAGGGCAGGGUGGACAGAACAUGCAGAGGAGAGGGAUCAGGCUCGAAAAGGAAGUGGGCCUAGCAUCAACUCACUCGCCCAGGACCCGGGCCACUCCCAGCUUCUCUAAGGAAGUGCAGAAUGUCUCAACAUCGUCGUCCUCCUCCAGAGAGCCCCCUGUGCUUGACUCAAAGGUUUCCUCAGGAGUCCUCAAGGAGGACCCACCUUGGGCCGACUCCACCCCCACAAACUUUCCUGCAGACAUGGGACCAGGACUGUGGGUUAACAUGGGACCUACCCAACUCCCCCGGCCACACACAAUAUAUCCUGUCCUCUCUCAGGGCCCAA